rnacentral:rRNA from 1 species
CAGGACGAACGCUGGCGGCGUGCCUAACACAUGCAAGUCGGAGCGGGGACAUUGCGACGGAGACGAAGUACUCGUACGGAGUCAAAGAUGUAAUGUCUAGCGGCGGACGGGUGAGUAACGCGUGAGCAACCUGUCCCUUACAGGGGGAUAACACAGCGAAAGUUGUACUAAUACCGCAUAAGACCACAGGAUGACAUCGUCCAGGGGUCAAAGGAGCAAUCCGGUAAGGGGUGGGCUCGCGUCCGAUUAGAUAGUUGGUGAGGUAACGGCCCACCAAGUCGACGAUCGGUAGCCGACCUGAGAGGGUGAUCGGCCACAUUGGGACUGAGACACGGCCCAAACUCCUACGGGAGGCAGCAGUGGGGAAUAUUGGGCAAAUGGGGGAAACCCUGACCCAGCAACGCCGCGUGAGGGAAGAAGGUUUUCGGAUCGUAAACCUCUGUCCCAGGUGAAGAGGAAGAGACGGUAGCCUGGGAGGAAGCCCCGGCUAACUACGUGCCAGCCGCGGC